UCAGGGUAAGGACAGUAGACAUAUCCUGGC
rnacentral:piRNA from 1 species